rnacentral:rRNA from 1 species
AACGUAGGAGACAAACGUUAUCCGGAGUUACUGGGCGUAAAGGGCGUGUAGGUGGUUCUGUAAGUCUGGCGUGAAAUUUUUCGGCUUAACCGGGAAAGGUCGUCGGAUACUGCAGGGCUAGAGGACGGUAGAGGCGUGUGGAAUUCCGGGUGUAGUGGUGAAAUGCGUAGAGAUCCGGAGGAACACCAGUGGCGAAGGCGACACGCUGGGCCGUACCUGACACUGAUGCGCGACAGCAUGGGGAGCAAACAAG